UACGAAGGGGGCUAGCGUUGCUCGGAAUCACUGGGCGUAAAGGGUGCGUAGGCGGGUCUUUAAGUCAGGGGUGAAAUCCUGGAGCUCAACUCCAGAACUGCCUUUGAUACUGAGGAUCUUGAGUUCGGGAGAGGUGAGUGGAACUGCGAGUGUAGAGGUGAAAUUCGUAGAUAUUCGCAAGAACACCAGUGGCGAAGGCGGACUCACUGGCCCGAUACUGACGCUGAGGCACGAAAGCGUGGGGA
rnacentral:rRNA from 1 species